AAGAUUGAAUUUACUGUAAUAGAGAUAGAAAAACACAGAUAUGGUGGUUGACACAGUCCUAAAAAAUGGAGUCAUGGAGGUAAGUACAUACUGCUCUUUGGAGAAACAUGGUUGUAAGGUGAACGAAAAACUAAGGUGUACACUAGAAGGAAACAGAGCGACAAAAUAGGAGAUGCUGAAAGAAAAAGAGAAGUUGAAAUACAGAAGAGAAGAGACGCAAUGUAAGCUUCCCAAAGAAAUGAGAAGAUGUGAUUCAAAGAACAGAUGGUAGGUUUAACAUUUGAAAUGUAGGACAACAAUUUAGCUAAAAUAGAAAGGGAAGAGGUAAGGCUGGCUCUGACUAUAUUUACACUUGUUUGUGUUUUGGGGAGAGAAAGGAAGUGGAGAACGUUCUUGCAAGAUGAUCUGUAUUUUCUCUCUAAAGCAGAGUUCAUUUGCUGAGAAUGAUGGAGAAAAUCAGCAUCUAGCUAAUCAGCUGACCAUGAGAUGCAGAGAUUAUCUGGAAUUAUCCAGAUUGGUCCAUUUAAUUACAUGAGUCCUUAAAAGUGGAAAGUGGAAGAAGAGGCAGAAGAGUGUGUCAGAGAGAUGCUGUGUGAAAAGGACUCAACCUGCCACUUGAGGCUUUGAGGCUGGAGAAAGGGGCCAUGAACCAAGGAUUGUGAGCAGCCUGUAAAAUCUGGAAAAGACAAGGCAAUACCCUUUGCUGUCUCAGGGUCAAACAUGCAACUCCUGCCUGCUUGUAUGGCCAGCUGGGUUCAAGAAGGAAGGAACCUCAUUGUUGACAGUUACCAGAUGAAUGUGCCCCUUCUGUACAGCUAAGAAAUGGAAUAGACAUUGGUAACCUUCCACAGGCCCACACAUGUGUUAUCAGCCAUACCUUAGGACAGAAGGAAUGAGUUUGCAGAAAGGAUGCUCUUCAGAACUCAUGAAGACAUAAGGUGCUUCAAAAGAGGAGACUUUCGGAACAUGAGCAGGGAAAUUGUCACUUGAUAGAUGACAAGCAUUGUGAGAAACAACAGUUUGCCUUUCUUCAUUCCCUUCCUGGUUAUCUUUCCUGUCACAUGAAGAAGAAAUGAAACACCAGAGAGAAUCAGGUUAUCAUCAUCUACACCAGCCACUGUCACUGGCCUUCAAAGUUCAACCUCCCUGGAACUCCAGAACUCCCCACUUUAUAAGAUGAAUGGCUAAUUGGAUCCUAGUACAUAAGGAAACACUGGCAAAAUAGCGCCCUACAACCAUACUGAGAAUUUAGCCCUGGGGACAUCUUCCGAUAUAAUCUGGCAUAGAAGAGUGGUUAUCACACCUUUAGCAUGGAUAGAAAUGCAAAACAAUAUUUGUAAUAGUCUGUGCUCACGCUGCUAUAAGGACAUACCCAAGACUAGGAAAGAGCCACAGAUUUGCUUCUUCCUAGCAAGGGCGUGAUACUAAUUCCAGAUCCAUCCAAAUAUUGUUCACUGCUUCUUAGACAGAGACCCCUUUCUCCCAGGACCCUUGAGACACCUUUGCUGUGAAUAAUGGAGAAGCAAAAGGAGUUACUAAUGAAGACAAACUAAACCUGAGAACAGAGAGAGCCUAACUAUGUGCUCCAGAAGUGCCAUGUGUGUCUAAGGACAUCAGCAAGAUGAUGAAAAGGGAGUUUUCUACUGUCAUUCCCCAAAAGAAGCAUCAAUUUUACAACUACUCAUGGACAAGAGUAUCCUUGUAGGAAUCUAAGAGUUUAGCAAAGAAGUUUCAGCACAUUCUCAGAGCAAAAAGUUUGAGUAUGCAUACGGAGAAGAGAAGAGAAUAAGAACAGUUGCACUUUACCUGCACUUUUUCUCCCCCAAGGUGUCACAGCUCAGUGCCAAGAGAGACCUCCUUAGCCCGUUUCUCCCAUAAAGGAAAGUGAGAGUAUAGUAAAUAAACUGUCAGUUCCCUGGCUGUGUGAGAUGCUGCCCAAUAGCCCCACCUCUUUUUUGUCUUACCCAAAUUACUGAGGUGAUCGGCACAGGUGAGAGAUUGGGAGAGGGUAGAACCAGAGAAGAGAGGCCGUGGACUCUCAUAAUUGCUCCAGUGGAUUCCAUGAGGAAGUUUGUCCAUGAGGCACUCGAGAUGUCUCACCUGCGGACACCACCAAUGGCCCAAGGCCACUGCAAAUGCAUUUCAUGCUUCUCCCACCGCCUGGAUGAAAGAAGGAUAGAAAAAAGGCACACAAACUGGAGCAUCUCAAAGCACUGCUCUAAUAGGCUGUACAGGAAGCAUGGCACCAACAUCUGCCCAGCUCCUAGGGAGGCCUCGGGGAGCUUUUACUCAUGGUGGAGGGUGAAGCAGGAGCAAGUACAUCAUACGGCGAAAGCAAGAGCAAAAUUUCUCACAUUAUGCAAGUAUUCUGCCAAAAAUGAUGUUCUCUUUCUUCCUUGGAGAUUUGCAGUGCAUUAACAUAUUAAAGACUCUUAAUAAUUUCUCCAGUAAAUAAACUUGAUUAUUCAUUUUUUAAUCCAUCAUUUCCCAAAAUUAAUUGGCCAUGGAAUUAUCUAUUAAUAUAAUACCUUGUUAAACCCUGCAUUGCUGUGCACCACAGAACACAGUUUGGGAAACAGUGUUCAAUUAACAAGCCCUUCUGUAAAACAGCAUGCUUCAAUUCAGAAACACAUGAGCUGAACAAAUACUUGACACCAAAUGACUUUACAGAAUGUAUUUUCACAAUAAGAAAGUAGAAACUAGGUUCCAAGAUGGCUGAAUAGGAACAGCUCCAGUCUACAGCUUCUGGCGUGAGCGACACAGAAGAUG
rnacentral:lncRNA from 1 species